rnacentral:lncRNA from 1 species
AUGAAAAACACAAGAUUUCCUUUGAAUCAUUUAAAGCCACAGUGUCACCCGGUGUGCGCUGUUUCUCAACUGAUCGGGGAUGGCCGAGCCGCGCUUACCUCACCUCCCGCAAAGUCCCCCUCUCUCCUGCCCUACGUUGUCGCUCGUUUUGCAAUUUUAGGUGGGAGAGGCGGGUUUAUGCCUCGCUGGAGCAAGGCGAGGGAAGCGGCCGGGGCUGCCCCCGGGGAUCCCGGGCUGCAGAGCGGCGUGUGCGGCACGUCAGGAUGCGCCGCGGUGCCGGCUGGCAACAAGUCCCCGGGAGCCCGGGGCUGCGGGCGGCUCCCGCGGCGCUGCGCGCCCCGUGCGUCCCCUCUGGCAGCGGGCUGUCACCCCGUCGGGGCGGGCUGCAGUUUCCCCCACACCCCCACGUUCCCCGGGAGGAAGGAGGGCGGGGAAGGGUUAAUGCUUGCUUUGACCUCCCGAGCGACUUCAGAUGCUGAGAUCGUCCCCCCGCGGCCCGGCACACGCUCCGUCCCCUCUUCCUCCUGCGGCUGCGGGCUCAGCAAGGGCACCACGAAGGGCAGGCGCCUGGAUUCACCUCCUCAUCGGCCCCUUCCCUGCCCGCUGCCCGCUGCCCGCUGCCCGAGGGGCUCAGCCUCGCCUGGGGGCAGAGGUCCCGCUGGGCCCCGAGGGACCGCGACACCCGAGGGAGUCCCACCUCCGCCGGCUCCCGCUCGGGGACCCAGCAGCGGCGCGGCCCAGGUGCCUCUUCCCUCGUUGAGCCAAGCAGAGGCACGCGGGAAGCAAAAAGUGCUGCCUCGUACGGUGUGUUUCCUCCGGGCGCCCUUCAGGUCCCCCCAAGGCAGGUGCUUUCUAGCUGCAGGACUCGGGAAGGGACGCGCUGGCCAGUCUUCGCCCCAGCCUGGAAACAACGUCGCAGCCCGAUCGCUCUGUCCUCGAGGGAAUUACACACACACCUGCAACACGCCGCAGGGUCAGGACCACAGUGCCAGGCUACGCAAAGAUGACACAUUACUGCUCGACUUUUGGAGGCUGCUCCGAGAGUCUAAAGCUUCUGUAAAGAACAGGUUAACUAAUGCCACGGACUUUUCCAAAAAUUAA